rnacentral:rRNA from 1 species
GUGGGGAAUAUUGGACAAUGGGCGCAAGCCUGAUCCAGCCAUGCCGCGUGAGUGAUGAAGGCCUUAGGGUUGUAAAGCUCUUUCGUCAGGGAAGAUAAUGACGGUACCUGAAGAAGAAGCCCCGGCUAACUUCGUGCCAGCAGCCGCGGUAAUACGAAGGGGGCUAGCGUUGCUCGGAAUCACUGGGCGUAAAGCGCACGUAGGCGGCUUUCUAAGUCAGGGGUGAAAUCCUGGAGCUCAACUCCAGAACUGCCUUUGAUACUGGAGAGCUUGAGUUCGGGAGAGGUGAGUGGAACUGCGAGUGUAGAGGUGAAAUUCGUAGAUAUUCGCAAGAACACCAGUGGCGAAGGCGGCUCACUGGCCCGAUACUGACGCUGAGGUGCGAAAGCGUGGGGAGCAAACAGGAUUAGAAACCCUAGUAGUCC